rnacentral:lncRNA from 1 species
ACCAUAUAAUGAUUCUGUCAUUUACUUAGAUUUUCAGAUACAAAAGAACUGAAUUUAAAGAAAAAUAGAAGGCCCAAGUCAUACAACAAUCUUUAGCGUCCCAUUCUUUAUCAGCAAAAAAAGAACUACUAUGAGGAUUAAAUGAUCUAGGUGAUUAAACAUGGAUACAGAAAUUACAGACCCCAUUUACAUGUCAAAAACUACAUUACAACCUUAAACAUGUAAGAGAAAACAAUCCAUUUACUUAACAAAAGUCCAUAAAUUUACAAAGCACUUCUAAAUACAGCAAUGUGUCUGAGGGAAAGGGGAAAUAAUUAAGGUAAGGGUCGCAUUCUUGAUAACUCUAAAUCUUCCAAAAAAAACAUCCUUUGAAUCAGCUUCAAUUUGCAAGAAUUUUUUUUUAGCUAUGGAGCUGUUUUUCUUGCAGACUAGCAUUUAAUCCGAACUCCAAAGCUUCUUACUGCUCAUCAAACUUUGUUUCAGCCAAGACUUUCAUGGAUCUGACCAUGUGAAAAGGUCAGACUUUUAAAAAUAUCUUCAAAUAUAUGGACCUACAGAUUUAUCAAACCAAUCUUAAAUAAACUAAUGCAAAGAUGAGUGAAAGGAGGAGCAAUGUUGCUCAUAAGUCUGACCAUAUUUUAAGGUCAUCCCUACAAAUGAACAAAGACUUCCAAACCAUGAUCCUACUCCAAGUUCAUAUCUUAGUAAAUAAUGAAAGGAAGGGGAAAGAGAUAACUUAGACAUAUGCUAGAUAAGUCAAGAAUCUUAUGCACUAUUAAGGAGUGAAUCUGACCAUUUAAAGGGUCAGAUUCAUCCCUUUAGUGCUGCUAUCAAAAGAGAAAUUUUGAACAUAAUUUUAUAGUAUAUAGACAUACUAAUUUAUCCAUCAAAUAUUAACAUAUACAGCAUAGUUAUUUCGGAUUUCAUGAUCAAAUUCAGCAACUAUUUAAAGUAACUUCAACACAAGGUUUAUAGGUAUUAAUCAACCCUAAAUUCAACAAGUUAAGAAUUCUAAAACUAACAGCAAAGUUCAGCCAAAUGGAAACACAAGUUUCAAACAUAAAUUUUAAACUCAAAGUUAAUUCUAUUUAGGAUAGACAUUGUUACAUACCUUGAAAUUGAAAACAUAAAUAGGGAACUGACUGGAUAAAGGUCAAGGAGAAAAAAGACAAGGAGCUUCAGCCACCAAACACAGUAGUGAAACAGCAACCAAAAUCCUAGGAGAAGAAUUUUCAACUUUAAACCAUUUUCUACUGAUGAAAAACCAGAAAUCUUCAAAGAAGUUCUUCAACUUUUACUAAAAUUAGACAAUUGAUUUUUUAGAGUGUAUUUUUCUUAGGGUUUUCAAUUCUGAUGUGUUUUCAGAAAUUUUUGUGCAGAAAAUGAUGCUGAAUAUCUGUUUUUCAGAACCUUUUAGGUAGAGAAUAAUGCUGAAUGUGUUUGUGUGAGUGAGAGAAUGUUUCUCUUUUAUAGAGUGUACCAAAAUGCAUCAAAAGGCAUAUUCUAACCUAAUUUUUUCUGAAAAUUAGAAUGGUACAACAUCUUUUACAGCUGUCUGUCCUUUUCCUCAUCCAAUAUCAGCAUUUUAGAGUAAGGACAGAGAUAACUAUGAAAAGUCUAGAAGAUUAUGAUAUUUAGCCUAUGUGAAAGUCCAUUUUUACUCCUUUAAUUACUGCCUAUUUCAAUUUUACCCUAUGUUCUGAUUUUAAAAUCAAUUACAACCAGUUCAAGGCUUUCAGCCAAGUGAUUAAGUUGCCUAAGUGUGUUGCAUUUCAGUUUCUGAAUUUAAACUAAGGUUUAAAUGGCUGUUCAGAGGCUCAAACCUAAGCUUAAAAUCAAUUAAACCUAAGUAAUUAAAACAUGUAGGCAAUCAAAUUUAGGCUCAAAAAGUUACUGAUAUCUAGCAUGUUUAGGCCAAGGAAACCACAAAUCAAAACCAAGCUAAAUUCAGAAUAAGGAAAAAAAUGAAAAUGAAUCCGGCUAAAACUAAAGAAAGUAGGAAUUGGCUAAAAUAGGCUAUUGAUUAACCUUUUAACACAGAACUUGCAAGAACAACCAAAAUAAACAAAACAAAAGCAAGAAUUAAAAAUAAAAGGAGAAACAAGAAUAGGUGAAUUAUAAGAAAACUAAACCUAAUCAUUUCAAUCUAACAAUCUGGACCCGUGCAAUAUUGAAAUCCUAGAACAUACAAUUAAAGAAGCUAAUAGACAGAAAACCUAAAUUAUACUGCUAAGUCAAGCAGUUAACAGAAAAAGGGGGAAACUAAACAAAAACCAAGAGGAAACUAAAGAACAAAAACAAACAAAAGAAAAUGUUAUAAGAAAUUACCUAAUGCCUAAUUCAUUCAAAGAUGAACACUGAACCAGUUUCGAACUCUAAUCCCAAUUUCUGAGUACAAAUGAACUUUAGACAACCAUCAAUCCACUACUCUUAUCAAGAGCAAUAAACUCAUGGAAGUCUUGGGUUCAAAAGCCCCAAUAAUUACUGAAAAAUUGAAGGUGAAAGAAAAUUAGGGUUCUAGAAUCUUGGAUUCAAAAUUCGAUGAGGCUGGGGCUGAUUCAAAGAGGGAUAAAGGUGGUUUAGGGUUCAGAGAGGUGUUGGGGUUAUGGGGUGUGUAUUUGGGGCCAUUUGGAACACUUAGGGUUUUGGGGGUUCUUACUUCGAUCUAAGAUUCGAAGGUUUUGAUGAUUAUUUGGGAAAAAUGGCUAAGGGAUUUGGAAAGAGGAGAGGAUGAGGAGUGUCUGGUGCGAAAUUGGUGUUGUUUGGGGUGCCGGAACCAUCGUGAGGCGAUUUCCGGUGGCGGUUGGCGGCGAAGACGACGAGGAAUAUAGGGGCGGCUAGGGUUUUGGGGUUAGGGGUGUUAGAGAUGAAAUGAGGGGUUCUGAAA